rnacentral:misc_RNA from 1 species
AACGCACCUUGCACCCUUUGGUAUUCCGAAGGGUAUGCCUGUUUGAGUGUCAUUAAAUUCUCAACUUCAAAAGAGUUUGUGCUUUUUUGAAGCUUGGACUAUGGAAGCUUGCUGGUAUCACUAUCAGCUCUUCUUAAAUGCAUUAGCGGAACUGUGAAGGACCAGCUUUGGUUUGAUAAUCCUAUCUAUGCCGUCGCUGUGGACUUGUGUGUGUUCAGCUUCUAAUUGUCUUCGGACUGCCUUCUAGGCAUACACUUUUAAGCUUGACCUCAAAUCAGGUAGGACUACCCGCUGAACUUAA